ensembl:lncRNA
UCCUAAUCGCAGAAGCCCCUGGUUAUUCUGUCGCUAAAGGAAAUAGAAUUAAUAAAUGCAGGUUUGUUACAGGAUUGUGGCAAUGUCACUGAGACAGUAAAAUGGAACUAUUUAUCACCUCCCUGAAAUCCACACUUGAGAUACAAAAUUACAGAUUAUGAGAGAAGAACCAUGCCAUAUUGAGAUAAUUUGAUCUUAAUAGGCUGUCAAAAAAAAGCUCUAGUUAGAGAGAUUGGCAUAAAUCACACUGAUGGGUAUUUACAGCAGUGAUAUCCAAGCCUUAUAUAUAAUAAUGUCUCAUUUGCUUACUUCUUUUCUCUAGAAGGUGUUUUGAAGACACUAGAAGUUUAUGUUUCACACUAAAAGUUUGUGUAAACCAUUUUGAAGUAAAUCUUCCUAAUUUUAGAAUUAUAUUUUCUCACCAUCUUAAAAGAGUGUCUUAAAUAUAAUGUAAUCUUUUUCUUAGUGACUAAAUAUCAUCUUCAUGGGCAUUAUUGUGCUGUAAUGCAGUACCUCAGGAAUCUGGUUUUUGUAGUUUCUCACUUUCCUCCCAUUUUUUUGCUGCUCUCACUUCUGGCAACUGCUUUAUCUUUCUAAUUUGCUGCUUCUUGGCUGUAUGGACUUAGAAACUAGGUAGCCAAUCUUACCAUAAAUUAUUUGGAAAGUAUUAGACAGUAAGCUAUGGAGCCUCAAUGAAAUGGUGAUGAUGGUGAUGAUGAUGAUGAUGAUGAUGAUGAUGAUGAUGAUAGGUAUAAUGUUAGCUCCCUAUUAAGCACUUAUUUGUUGCUAUGUACUGUAGUAUUUUACACACAGUACACUUAAUCGUUUUAACAACAACGUUAAGUUGGUGCUGUUGUUAUCCCUAUUUCAUAUUGGGCAAAUUGAAACAUGGAGAGGUUAAUUUGCCUGUGAUGUCACUACUAGUAAGUGGACUGGAAUCCAGCUUGGUCCAGGUGUAAAGCCUGUGUUCUUGACUGCUGUGCAGUAGGGACAUCAGUUGCACGGGCUUUGUAAUGUUUGUUCUCUGCUUCCUUUUUACCUCUGUAGAGUCAUCUUCUCAUCUAUAACCUAAGGGAAUUGUACUUAGAAUGUCAAAGUCCGUUUAACAAAUCCUGUGUUUUUGGAUGCGUACUAUGUGCUAAGAGUUCUAUAGAGAUAAAUGAAACAAGAUAAGGGGAAUAGAAAGUACCAGCGGUCGUAUGUAGGGGGUUAUUUUUAUACAAGGUGGUCAGGGAAGACCUGAAAGAAGUAAGAGCUUAAACAAUAGCGCAGGGAGAAGGUGUCAUGCUAGAUUCUGGAGAGUUGAGGUUAAGAAAAUCUCUGUCAUGAAGUAUAUUUCACUUUUGAAUGCGUUGUAAGAUGGUUUCUUGUUUGUUUUGCAUUAUUAAUGUUUUCUAGGUUAAGCCUAAAGAUUAAGAUUUGAAUAUUAAGAGUAAUACUCCCUGCAUAUUUACUGACAGUAGUAGAGGGAAAUGGCCCAGAAGCAUGGUGAAGCUGCCCUGGAAUUCAUAAAGUAAAGAGUCCACAUUUCCUAAGAGGAAGAAGACGUCACUGAUUAUGCUUUAAAUGUCAACACCCCAAAGGAUGGGAUCUCAUCUCUCUUGCUUACUUCUCUGUCCUUAAUGGCUCCGUACAGUGCCUGACGCACGAUAUGUGUGCAGUAGAUACUUGUGUAAUGAAUGAAUCGUUGCUACCCACAUCGCUAUGCUCCUCUCUCUAGGUACUUGAAUUCAGGCUUGACUCCCAGCCCAUUUUCUAUCAGUACUAAAAAGCUGCAUCACUUCCUAUGUCACUUUCUAUAUUACUUCUGAACUUAACAUAUUUUGCCUCAGGUCGAUUGGUUCAUCUUCUACUGGCAGUUCUCUAGGCCUCUGUUGUGUAACAGAUAGUCAGAUGCUUAAUGGGAAAUUCAAUAUGUAUAUACCUUCCCUGUUCUACUGAUUAUCAAGGAAACAUUCUUUGGUUUGACAUGGGUUAUUCUUAGUGAACUUGUGUUGGGAACCAGUGGUUGUCACUUUACUUUCUGUUUAAUCUGUUCUAAUUUUUUUGAGAACUAAUACUCUUUGAGGAUUAAUAUCAAGUAUAUUAGCAUACAAUUUUUAGAACCUAUUUGUUCCCCCUUUCUUUUCUGAACAUAGCAUUAUUUACCUACCUCUCGGCUUAGUGGUUCUUUUACUGAUUUCAUGAUUUCACAGAGAACAGUUUUGUCUUAGUAUCUCAAAUUCUUUUAAUAUUGCAAGCCAAAGAUUUUUAAACUUUUUGGACUCAAGACCCC